UACAGAGACUGCAAGCGUUAUUCGGAUUCACUGGGCGUAAAGGGUGCGCAGGCGGCCAAGUGUGUCAGGUGUGAAAUCCCGGGGCUUAACUCCGGAACUGCGCCUGAAACUUCUUGGCUAGAGCAUUGGAGAGGGAAGUGGAAUUCACGGUGUAGCAGUGAAAUGCGUAGAUAUCGUGAGGAACACCAGAGGCGAAGGCGACUUCCUGGACAAUUGCUGACGCUCAGGCACGAAAGCGUGGGGAGCCAAAGGG
rnacentral:rRNA from 1 species